rnacentral:rRNA from 1 species
UACGAAGGGGGCUAGCGUUGCUCGGAAUCACUGGGCGUAAAGCGCACGUAGGCGGCUUCUUAAGUCAGGGGUGAAAUCCUGGAGCUCAACUCCAGAACUGCCCUUGAUACUGAGGAGCUCGAGUCCGGAAGAGGUGAGUGGAACUCCGAGUGUAGAGGUGAAAUUCGUAGAUAUUGGGAAGAACACCAGUGGCGAAGGCGGCUCACUGGCCCGUAACUGACGCUGAGGUGCGAAAGCGUGGGGAGCAAACAGG